rnacentral:rRNA from 1 species
AUGAUUAUUUUUCACGAAGUUGGAGGAGCUAUUUAUUCUUAGUUUUUAGACAGCAGAAUGUUGCAUAAUCAAGUUAAGGAUAACUAGGAGUGAAAGGCUUUUCAUAUCCAACGAUAACUUGAUGGUUUAGAAAUGUAAUAGUACAGAGGCACCCUUAAAGUGAUAAGGUUUUAAGAGGUUAACAAAAGGUUAGUGAUUCGAAGUAUAUUAUUUAACCAUAAAUACUUAAAUAAUUUAAUAUUAAUCUAAACGGAUUGUUUGUUUUAUAAACCUAUAGAUAAUUAAAUACCCUAUACUUAAUGUUAAUAUUAGUAGCGUAUAAAUAUUAAUAAUGAACUCGGCGAAAGUCUUUCAACUGUUUAUCAAAAACAUAGCUAUAUGAAUUUUGUAUAUAGUGAUUUCUGCUCAAUGAACUUUAAAUAGCCGCAGUACCCUGACUGUGCUAAGGUAGCGCAAUCAAUUGACUUUUAAUUGAAGUCCAGUAUCAAAGAAACCAUGGGGGACUACUCUCUCAUUAGUAAUAAUUGAAAUUGCUAAUAGAGUGCAAAUUCUCUUAAUUAAACAAUAGACGAGAAGACCCUAAAAAUUUGUAGGUGAGACUUUUUGUUGGGGCAACAAAGUAGUAAUGUUAAUCUACUUUAAUGACAUGAAAUUAAUACUUAGGUAGAAUAAAUUACUCUAGGGAUAACAGCAUAAUUUGAAAGAGUUUGUGACCUCGAUGUUGGACUAGGGAUUUUUCGUUUAGAAG